GAUGAACGCUGGCGGCGUGCCUAAUAUAUGCAAGUCGAGCGAACAGAUGAGGAGCUUGCUCCUCUGACGUUAGCGGCGGACGGGUGAGUAACACGUGGAUAACCUACCUAUAAGACUGGGAUAACUUCGGGAAACCGGAGCUAAUACCGGAUAAUAUAUUGAACCGCAUGGUUCAAUAGUGAAAGACGGUUUUGCUGUCACUUAUAGAUGGAUCCGCGCCGCAUUAGCUAGUUGGUAAGGUAACGGCUUACCAAGGCAACGAUGCGUAGCCGACCUGAGAGGGUGAUCGGCCACACGGGAACUGAGACACGGUCCAGACUCCUACGGGAGGCAGCAGUAGGGAAUCUUCCGCAAUGGGCGAAAGCUUGACGGAGCAACGCCGCGUGAGUGAUGAAGGUCUUCGGAUCGUAAAACUCUGUUAUUAGGGAAGAACAAAUGUGUAAGUAACUAUGCACGUCUUGACGGUACCUAAUCAGAAAGCCACGGCUAACUACGUG
rnacentral:rRNA from 1 species